AGGACGAACGCUGGCGGCGUGCUUAACACAUGCAAGUCGAACGAUGAACCACUUCGGUGGGGAUUAGUGGCGAACGGGUGAGUAACACGUGGGCAAUCUGCCCUGCACUCUGGGACAAGCCCUGGAAACGGGGUCUAAUACCGGAUAAUACCUCUGGGCGCAUGCCCGGGGGUUGAAAGCUCCGGCGGUGCAGGAUGAGCCCGCGGCCUAUCAGCUUGUUGGUGGGGUGAUGGCCUACCAAGGCGACGACGGGUA
rnacentral:rRNA from 1 species